rnacentral:rRNA from 1 species
AGAGUUUGAUCCUGGCUCAGGACGAACGCUGGCGGCGUGCUUAACACAUGCAAGUCGAGCGGUAAGGCUCCUUCGGGGGUACACGAGCGGCGAACGGGUGAGUAACACGUGAGCAAUCUGCCCCCGGCUUCGGGAUAACUCCAAGAAAUUGGGGCUAAUACCGGAUGUGACCGCUGGCCGCAUGGUCUGGUGGUGGAAAGGGUUUCCGGCUGGGGAUGGGCCCGCGGCCUAUCAGCUUGUUGGUGGGGUAGUGGCCUACCAAGGCGACGACGGGUAGCCGGCCUGAGAGGGUGACCGGCCACACUGGGACUGAGACACGGCCCAGACUCCUACGGGAGGCAGCAGUGGGGAAUAUUGCGCAAUGGGCGGAACCUGACGCAGCAACGCCGCGUGGGGGAUGACGGCUUCGGGUUGUAAACCUCUUUCAGCAGGGACGAAGCGGAAGUGACGGUACCUGCAGAAGAAGCACCGGCCACUACGUGCCAGCAGCCGCGGUAAUACGUAGGGUGCAAGCGUUGUCCGGAAUUAUUGGGCGUAAAGAGCUCGUAGGCGGUUUGUCGCGUCGGCUGUGAAAACCCGGAGCUCAACUCCGGGCCUGCAGUCGAUACGGGCAGACUUGAGUGUUGCAGGGGAGACUGGAAUUCCUGGUGUAGCGGUGAAAUGCGCAGAUAUCAGGAGGAACACCGGUGGCGAAGGCGGGUCUCUGGGCAACAACUGACGCUGAGGAGCGAAAGCGUGGGGAGCGAACAGGAUUAGAUACCCUAGUAGUCC